rnacentral:sRNA from 1 species
GCGGAGGAAAAGAAACCAACAGGGAUUGCCUCAGUAACGGCGAGUGAAGCGGCAACAGCUCAAAUUUGAAAUCUGGCCCUAGGCCCGAGUUGUAAUUUGCAGAGGAUGCUUUUGGUGCGGUGCCUUCCAAGUUCCCUAGAACGGGACGCCAGAGAGGGUGAGAGCCCCGUACAGUUGGACACCAAGCCUUUGUAAAGCUCCUUCGACGAGUCGAGUAGUUUGGGAAUGCUGCUCAAAAUGGGAGGUAUAUUUCUUCUAAAGCUAAAUACCGGCCAGAGACCGAUAGCGCACAAGUAGAGUGAUCGAAAGAUGAAAAGCACUUUGAAAAGAGGGUUAAACAGCACGUGAAAUUGUUAAAAGGGAAGCGCUUGUGACCAGACUUGCGUCCGGUGAAUCACCCAGCUCUCGCGGCUGGGGCACUUCGCCGGCUCAGGCCAGCAUCAGCUCGCUGUCGGGGACAAAAGCUUCAGGAACGUAGCUCUCUUCGGGGAGUGUUAUAGCCUGUUGCAUAAUACCCUUCGGCGGGCUGAGGUACGCGCUCCGCAAGGAUGCUGGCAUAAUGGUCAUCAGCGACCCGUCUUGAAACACGGACCAAGGAGUCAACCUUAUGUGCGAGUGUUCGGGUGUCAAACCCCUACGCGUAAUGAAAGUGAACGCAGGUGAGAGCUUCGGCGCAUCAUCGACCGAUCCUGAUGUUCUCGGAUGGAUUUGAGUAAGAGCAUAUAGGGUUGGACCCGAAAGAAGGUGAACUAUGCGUGUAUAGGGUGAAGCCAGAGGAAACUCUGGUGGAGGCUCGCAGCGGUUCUGACGUGCAAAUCGAUCGUCAAAUAUGCGCAU